rnacentral:lncRNA from 1 species
CAAAUAUAAGAUCCAUUCAAGGCCUUCUCACUAUUAAAAGGUCAGUUGUAUUUAAAGUGCUUACUAGAAGUUUUCCUCCUACUUUGGCAUUUUCAAAUUUUAUCUGAAGGAAAACAGAAAAAUAAAAGAAUACCGUACUUCAGUUCUAACGAAGCAAGAAGAAUCCAGACCAGACCUACAAAAAAAUGGCUAUAGUGGCCCCUAGAAAUUAAGAAUUACUACCCCUAUCCCCAGUUUUCAAGGCCUUAUAGUUUGGACAAAGA